ensembl:lncRNA
CGCAGUGACCUGGUUUGCAGUUCUAGGUUACAGUCAGUCGUGUUGCUUUGCAGUCAGUUCAAUUUUCAGCCUCGGCUUCAUCCAACCGGAGUCCUCGUCAUGUUUAAGUGUCUGUUUUAUGAUGAUAUCUCUUUACUGUACGUCAGCUUUUUCCUUCAGGUGAUUAAGCUGUUAAAAAACACACCCCCAAACACACGGUGCUACUGUAACUACCCCAGAAGAAAGGUUACCACAUUUCUGUACAAUGUAAAACACUGCAUGGCUGCUCUGUACCGUGGAGAAGGUCUGACGUUGAAACAAAGGCUACAUCUGUGCAGGUUUAGUCGCCUUUUGGUCUGCAUGGUUGUGUUCAUUCUGCUCAUGACAUGUUCCAAUUUUAUUUCUCAUUGGUUGCCAGAUGUCCAUCAUCUUGAGCUGAUCAGCUGUUCCAGAAUUGCUAUGAAUAGCAGUUUAGCUGGAAAACCCCACUGUGAUUUGUUGCAGAUGCCGAAACAAACUGCCUGGUAAUGCAUUUUUUUCGUCCGAAAUAAUGUGAUGAGGCCCACUACAAAAGCGUAGUUCGAAUUUCACUCGAAAGGCAACAGAACAGAAGCAACACUUUUUGACUUGAUGGAACUUCAGUGUCUAUUUUACAACCAGCAGAUUCCAGUUUUCAUGCAUCGUAAAGUUCUACAGUGUGAACAAAACCUUUCACUAACUCCUCGUGUAUUUGUCGAGUAUUUUUCAAACAAGCGAGCGAUGAACCCAUUGAAGGGUCAGGUCUUCGCCACAGUGACGGUCAGACAUCGUCUCUGCCGCCGGUGCUUUCUAUGGUGCUAACAACUCCUCGUUUCAAACUUCUUCAAGAGAGAUUCAGUCAGAGACAGAAAGACGCUGUGCUGCGAUGUUCUCCUCCCGCCUUUUUUCCCCACACGUCUCCUCUCUGUACCUGCUCGAGUCCUUGGGUGUCUUCUCUUGUCAGAGGUGUCUCGCUGUGCUGGUAACGAAGGUGCUGUUUUUUCCCUUUUCCAUUGAUUUUUUGGCUCUACCCUCUUGCCUAGGCUUGCUCUGGAAAGCAAACAGAUGGAUCUUUAAAUAAGUCAUAGACUGUGACGGGGCUGAUGCUGUGAAAAAUAAAAGUAGUGAGAUAUUGGGUGUACUAGCUGCAAUGUCGUGCCUCCAAGAGAAACUCACACUUAUUAUAGGCUUCUCUGGUGAGAUGUUUGCGCCUCUGAGUCAGAUUGACACUUCAAUCUCUAACAGAUAAUUGGCUCCGCAAGACGAGAACAUGCAUGAAAUUUAAAAUCACGCAGAGCUGAUUUUGUUUUAAUGUCCCCAAAUUUCUACGGAGCUCUCGGGAGCUUCGACCUCCUCACCGCCGGCGUGUGGAUUCCACAUUGAGAUGUCAGCGCUGCUAUGCUUGACAGCCAAGCUAAGAGGCUUACAGGAGGCCUGAGCGUGCCUCGCUGCAGAUAGGUGAGGGCAUCGACUCCAAACGGUCUCCGGCAGGAAGCGAGGCCGCCAUCUGUCAGAGCUUCAUCGUCUCUGCUUCGACCUUGACCUCCUGUCAGCCCGUUUGUUAUCUCCUGCGAGGAUCCGAGUGGAGCUCGGGGGGAGUUGCGUGAAAUUUGGAUUGGAGGUGGUUCGGCAGCUUCACGCCGACUGUCAGCGCGAGCACAUCGGAGUUUACUCUCCCACCACGACGUGAAGAUGAGCAAACAAUUCAUUUGUGCUGCUUUGCACGCUUUCUGAGCUCGGAAAUGUCUCAGAAGCUUGCUCUCUGAAGGCGGCGCCAUCCAUUUCAGCUUUUAUUUUCAAGCCUGUUGUUGGCAGCGGAAUCAUUCCUGGCAACUUAAAAUGGCUCUUGUGUGUUUUCUUCACUGUAAUAAGCGUCCACUCUGGGAGUGCGGUAGCUUUCUUUGUUGCCCAGCUCGCUUGUUCUCCCUCAUUUCUGAGUUCUCUGUAAAGCUCGGUAAUCUCACAGGCAGGCUUCGUGUGCGACGGAGAGGGAGACCUCGAGGGUUACUGAAACGGCAACAUGUAGGAAAACACCCCAAAAAACGAUUGUUUGGCCGGAGUGGCUGCCCGCUCUGAAAAGUUCUGAAAAGGGCUUGAAUGUGCUGAAUCGUGUCGCCAUGGGUGGUGCAGUUUGAAGAGCAAACGACUGGUCGAAUUAUGGAUUGUUUUCAAAGAUGACACCUCUUGACAUUUGUGUGCGAGUGCUAGAUUGAACCUUUUGGCUUCAGUAAUUGCCAUGUAAGUUGGGAAAUCGGUCAACAGCUACCAAAUCUAACAGUUUCAUGCUCCCAUGAGCCAUAGCAGGUGUCAUCAGUUUAAAUCUGUCCAGUUUUGUAUUAUUUAUGCUGAAAAAGUGACUUCUGCAGCAGUUUUCUUCAAAGAUUUCCUCUCCUCUUCUAACCUUUUACUUUCACCUCUUUCUUUUUUGUGUGAAAUCUACCUGACUCGUCCAGAAAACGGCUUAAAUUAUGACUUUGCAAUUGAACACCCCUCUUUUUUUGUAUUAAUCCAAGUGUGUUAAUGUCUGCGCAAUGCUCUGUCCAUGUAUAACAAAUGCAUAGGUUGCGUUUCUAGGUCAAGUGCGAAAAACAAAAAAGCAAAAAAAAAAAAACAAAAAAGGAAUAGUGUGAAUCUGGCAAUGUGGUUAUUGUAUUUGCAAGGAAAAUGUGCAAUAUACGGUUCUCAGAUGGUUCCAGGUUUCAGUGUAGAACUCCAUUUUUAAUUUUUUAAUAUUCUUUUUGCUAUCAUUUUUUCCAGUCAGUUCCUCAGGUCACUAAAUGCCUUCUGGUCCUGAGGGUGACCAGGGAAUCUCAGAACAUACACUAAUGCACCCAAAAUACAAGCGACUGGAUUUUAUUUUAGUCUUGUCUCUCUCUCCUUUUCUUUUCUCCCCCAUUUGUUGCAAACAAAUUUCUUAGAUUUUGCUUUUUUUUAUUUUCAGGUUAACACAGGCACUUAAUCGGGUGUCCUUUUCCUUGCCUCCUUUUUGUAUUAUUGUUAUUUAUUGCACAUGUAAUGAACUGGUUUCCAUUGCCACAUUUAAUUCCAAGGAGUUUUGGGUCUAGAGUGGGGCUGGAAUUUCUUACGUACAAAACUACAGAAGCUUUUGUCAAAACCUAAGUGUGUAUUUCAUCAAUAAAUGCCUUUAAAAGUG